rnacentral:rRNA from 1 species
AUAAUGCAGUCGAGCGAACAGAUGAGAAGCUUGCUUCUCUGAUGUUAGCGGCGGACGGGUGAGUAACACGUGGGUAACCUACCUAUAAGACUGGGAUAACUCCGGGAAACCGGGGCUAAUACCGGAUAAUAUAUUGAACCGCAUGGUUCAAUGUUGAAAGACGGUUUCGGCUGUCACUUAUAGAUGGACCCGCGCCGUAUUAGCUAGUUGGUAAGGUAACGGCUUACCAAGGCAACGAUACGUAGCCGACCUGAGAGGGUGAUCGGCCACACUGGAACUGAGACACGGUCCAGACUCCUACGGGAGGCAGCAGUAGGGAAUCUUCCGCAAUGGGCGAAAGCCUGACGGAGCAACGCCGCGUGAGUGAUGAAGGUCUUAGGAUCGUAAAACUCUGUUGUUAGGGAAGAACAAAUUUGUUAGUAACUGAACAAGUCUUGACGGUACCUAACCAGAAAGCCACGGCUAACUACGUGCCAGCAGCCGCGGUAAUACGUAGGUGGCAAGCGUUAUCCGGAAUUAUUGGGCGUAAAGCGCGCGUAGGCGGUUUCUUAAGUCUGAUGUGAAAGCCCACGGCUCAACCGUGGAGGGUCAUUGGAAACUGGGGAACUUGAGUGCAGAAGAGGAGAGUGGAAUUCCAUGUGUAGCGGUGAAAUGCGCAGAGAUAUGGAGGAACACCAGUGGCGAAGGCGGCUCUCUGGUCUGUAACUGACGCUGAUGUGCGAAAGCGUGGGGAUCAAACAGGAUUAGAUACCCUGGUAGUCCACGCCGUAAACGAUGAGUGCUAAGUGUUAGGGGGUUUCCGCCCCUUAGUGCUGCAGCUAACGCAUUAAGCACUCCGCCUGGGGAGUACGACCGCAAGGUUGAAACUCAAAGGAAUUGACGGGGGACCCGCACAAGCGGUGGAGCAUGUGGGUUUAAUUCGAAGCAACGGCGAAGACCUUACCAAAUCUUGGACAUCCUUUGAUCGCUCUAGAGAUAGAGUUUUCCCCUUUCGGGGGACAAAGUGACAGGUGGGUGCAUGGUUGUCGUCAGCUCGUGUCGUGGAGAUGGUGAUAGGUCCCGCAACGA